AUUAUGGUUUAGUUAUUUUAAUUUUAUUUUUUGAUGUUAAAAAUACACGAUGGAUACUUAAAUAUUGAUGUUUACCUUUUUUAUUUUGAUAUUUUAUGGUGUAGAUUAACCUAAGUUAAUAUAACAAUCAAAACAGUAGGGCAUGGAAUGGCAGAUCAACAUUGUUAAUUUUCGGAUAAACUUUCUGGAUUUUGCCAAGUGAGAACUUCAAUGAUAUACAUGUAGGGGCAUGUGUCCAAAGCUGAUCCACAUCAUAACAUACUGAUUGGGAAUAAUGACAUUGUACCAAAAGAUGUGCUUAUACUGUAAUUAGCAGAUCUUCACAAAUGAACCUGGCAGAUCCUGGUGCAACCUUACCUUACCAUGUGUACAUCUAACCGUCAGUUUGAGCUGUGUGUGGGUGGUAACACGGACUAUAUACAUGUAUUGCCCAGUAAUUGUCUUGUGAUGGACCUUUUUAACAUAUCAAGUAUUUAAUUGAAGACUUAAGAGGUCAGUUUUCAUCAAAGAAUUUAAAAAUACAGUUUUAUUUGUAAGGGUGAAUAUGUGGUUAUAAUGGCAUAAAUGUAUAUCUUGUGUCUGUUUUUUAAUGAGCCUUUCAUCCAUAAUUAUGAAUUUUAAGCAUGAUAAAGUAUUUUAAGGGAAUAUAAUGUAGACAUGUUAUGUUGUUUCUGCACAAGCAUUUGAAUACAAGAAAUUCUAUGCUCACUCAGCACUGUUUACACAUUGUCAAUGAAUUUGCUUGUUUUAGUUUCCAACUCUGUCUGUCUCUAGCUCCCUGUGAAUAAUGUACUUUUUUACAUUGCAUCCAUUGAUUUUAAAUGGAGUGUAUUAUGCACAUGCCACACUUUUUUUUACAAAAACAUUAAGGUCAAAGGUAAAAUAUAUGGGUCAAAAUCAUAACUUUUGCAAUAUUGAAGAUAGCAACUUGAUAUUUGGCAUGCAUGUGUACCUCAUGGAGCUGCACAUUUUGAGUGGUGAAAGGUCAAGGUCAUCCUUCAAGGUCAAAGGUCAAAUAUAUGGGUCAAAAUCGCUCAAAAGGGGACAUUGUGUAUUGUGUUUUACAAACACAUACCUUGUUAUGUUAUGUAAUGGCCUUUCAAUCAUCUUAUUUUUUUAUGAAAUACGCUGGAUUUGUCUUUUCAUUUCAUCCAUGAUAUCAUUAUGUUUUUUUUUGCCUGUUACAAAUUUUCGGCCCAAUGUACGUGUUAAGCAGUUUAACCAUUUACAACGGCAUUUGUGGCGAGGCUUACAGUCAUAAGGUUGGUCAUUACAUGCACUGCAUAUCAUAAAAUCGUUUGGCUUUUAUUGACAAAAUUUGCGAAAACGGUGUCCAAGACUAAACAUGACAAGUGUCGCAACUUCGUCCCCACCUGGGAAUUCAGAGCGCAAAUUUCAGAUUAUAAUGUGUCAGAUUUUACACUUGUAUAAUGAAGAAGUCAUCUCCUGACAAGAUGGUGAUGUACUGAUCUCGUUCCAAGCCACACAUGAUACUUGUUUUGAUUUUAAUCAAAAUCGGUGUUAAAUAGUAAACAUAAAAAGUGUCACAAAUUCGUCCCUAUUGAGAAGUCAGAGCUAAAAUUUCUGAUUUUAAUUUGUCAGAUUUUGCACUUUUAUAAUGAAGAAGUCAUCACUUGACAAGAUUGUGGUGUCCUUAUCUCGUGCCGAGCCACAAAUGAUUCUUGUUUUGGUUCAAAGCAACAUAUAAACGAAGAUUUUUUUUAAAUGUACUUUGUUUUAAAUUCUGUUCUUUGAAAAAUGCAUGCACUUUGUUUUAAAUUCUGUUUUUUGAAAAAUGCAUAAUAAGUCAUCAACUAUUAUAAUUUUAUGAAAAUAUUACUUUAAUUUUGGUUAAUGCAGUUAUUGAUAUAAAUUGUUUUAACGCAUACGAUGUAGAUAACGUUCGCGAACCACAAUAGAAACGUUCGUUGAGUUCACGUUUAAACGCGACGGUCACGUUCUUACAGUGGGUAUUAUUUGUUGAUCUUACUUCACUUUAUCGACCAUUUGUCAUUUAACAGCAGAACACACGAACAAUCAAAGUAAAAUUAGAUGUAAGCGAUCGUUUUUUCCGUUUAAGUUUCAAACAUUGGCUCGAAAAAGUGUGUGCAAAGGCUCAUUAUCGACAAUAAAGAUAACUUAAUAAUAAGCUGUAAAAACAACAAGCAACAGUUUAUGUCUUAUUAAAAUAUACGGUCAGUACAAACAUAUAUUGUAAUAUAUGCUACUAACAAUCGUUAAGUAUAAACUGUAAGCAAACAUCAACAAUAACAAUAACAGUUCGAGUAUAAAUAUAGGUGAAUGGAAAAAGUGAAAAUCAUUUAAUUGUCUUAUUCGCGAUCAUUUCGUUUCCGGUUUCCGUGCGAUAGUCCCAAAUAAGCGUCGCUCUGGCCGUAAUACAUAAUGACCGUCUUUUGAUUAUAGUCAGUAUUUGUGAACCUGAAAACGUGUUUUUAUAAAUCUGGUAUCAUCGACGCCUUUGUUGGAUAUUUAAAAAAAUCGCUUUUCAAUUCGUUUGCCGUUCACCGUGAAAGAUCUAUAACCAUAUUGUCGCCAAGUGUAGCCAGCCAGAUUUCCAUUUUCUUCACAGUUUAUUUAUGGAACGCUUGAAGGCGCUAUUAUUAUUGCGGACGGAUGACAAAUUCAGUUAUCAACGGCAAAAGAAACACAUUUGUAACGAAGUACCUGAUACUAUACAACAAGAGGGCCAUGAUGGCCCUGUAUCGCUCCACUGCUGAAAAAAGGCUAUUCAAAUAUUCUCUGCAUGUGCAAAUACUUAAAUAUAGGCCUAUAGGACGAGAAGAUUUUGAAAAUUUUCACAAAAUAGGCCUUAUAUAAGCAUAUGUUAAAUUUUGUGACCCCCGGGGCAGGGUCAAAUUUGACCCUAGGGGCAUAAUUUGAAGAAAUUUGGUAGAGGACUAUUACAUGUCUCUACAUACCAAAUUUGAUAGACCUAGGCCCAAGGGUUAGGGACGAGAAGAUUUUGAAAGUUUUCACAAAAUAGGCCUUAUAUUAGCACUUAUACUAGCACUCACGAUAUGGCCGGCUCGUGAGCCGUGAGCGUUAAACAUGAAUGGUUACCGACUUCUAUCCGCCUGGCGCCUGGCAUAGUGAUAGGAGUUGGGAGGUACAUGGUAUACACGCAAGGGUGUCUCAUAAGCCGAAUUGGCUGGCCCUUUCAAUAGGGCUGACACUAUAAUAAAAAAGACCUUUUAUUAGCAUAUGUUCAAUUUUGUGACCCCCGGGGCAGGAUCCAAUUUGACCCCAGGGGCAAAAUUUGAAGAAAUUUGGUAGAGGACUAUAAGAUGUCUCUACAUACCAAAUUUGAUAGCCCUAGGCCCAAUGAUUAUGGACGAGAAGAUUUUGAAAGUUUUAACAAAAUAGGCCUUAUAUAAGAUUUUUUUCAUUUUUGUGAGACCCGGGGCAAGGUCAAAUUUGACUGCGUUUUAGAAGUUUCAACGUUGAAAUGUGACGUUUCGGAAAGCUUACAUAUUAUGAAAAGACGUUUUUUUAUGUUGCCGUGUGUGUUUAAACAAAUAUAAUUUUACGAUCAUUGCUUGAUAGCAUUGUAAUUAUUUUAAUGCAGUCAGACGCAGUAGCCGCCGAAACGUACACCUACUACGUUUGUUAAGUGAAAUGUCUGUGCGCCGUUAUUUUGCUAGAUUUCGUAUAACGUCUUCCUUAUGAACUGCAUAAUGUUACAACUUUGAUAAAAAUCUUUAACACUCAAUUCACCAUUAUUUUUGAGUUAAUCAUAACGCUAAAACGGACUAACUAAUGUACAUGGAGAAAGUAAAUAAAAAACAUUUUCUGGAGCAAGAAGUUGAAAAACAAAACAUUACACAUCAAUUUUGACUUCCAUUGCAACCAAAUUUAGGUUCGAUGAUGACAGCCAGAUAUUGCUCUCUAUUAAUUGAAUGUUUCAAAAAUUCGUUAGACCAGUAUCAUGCGAAAAUGGAUCUUAUUUAAUUGUGGUUCCCUCAUUGAACUUAUGUUGUCUGUCGACUUUUAGAAUAAUGUGUCAGAAAUAAAUGUAUUGCUUCAGAUUCACGAGCUUUUUUUUAAGAAAUGAAAUAUGCAAAUGUAUGUUAUAUAUAUUUUUUCUGUUUCUUAAACGUAUCUUAUUUAUUUGUGACUACGUGCUUAUUUUUUUUAAGAAAUGCGAGAUUCAAAUGUGUCUUAUUUAUCUUUUAUCCAUGUCUUAAAUGUGUUUUAUUUAUAUAAGACUACAUUCUAUACUGCCAUCUAUCAUGUGAAAAUGGAUCUUAUUUCUCAAUAUCCACCUUCACACUUUAUUCUUUAUUAGCGCCGUCUUUCAUUAGGCUAUCACUAUUUAAAGAACAGAUUACUGUGAAAUUAAUAAAAAUGUGCAACGGUGAUAUUGAUCCAUUCUCGUUGUUAAUUUUAAAUGUACACAACAGUUUAGCAAUAAAUGAAAUCAGUUAUUUUGACAGUUAAUCCUUUUUUUCCAGUACGGUAGCCAGGUGCCUGUGUAUUGAGCUGACAAGAUAGGGAUAAUCACAGCAGGUUGCUAAUACACAGUGUAGACUUCCCCUGUUUUAUUAUUGUAUUUGUUAUUUACCUGAUUGGAAUAAAUGGAGUGUAUUCAA